rnacentral:rRNA from 1 species
CCUACGGGAGGCAGCAGUGGGGAAUCUUGCGCAAUGGGCGAAAGCCUGACGCAGCCAUGCCGCGUGAAUGAUGAAGGUCUUAGGAUUGUAAAAUUCUUUCACCGGGGACGAUAAUGACGGUACCCGGAGAAGAAGCCCCGGCUAACUUCGUGCCAGCAGCCGCGGUAAUACGAAGGGGGCUAGCGUUGCUCGGAAUUACUGGGCGUAAAGGGAGCGUAGGCGGAUAGUUUAGUCAGAGGUGAAAGCCCAGGGCUCAACCUUGGAAUUGCCUUUGAUACUGGCUAUCUUGAGUACGGAAGAGGUAUGUGGAACUCCGAGUGUAGAGGUGAAAUUCGUAGAUAUUCGGAAGAACACCAGUGGCGAAGGCGACAUACUGGUCCGUUACUGACGCUGAGGCUCGAAAGCGUGGGGAGCAAACAGGAUUAGAUACCCUGGUAGUCCACGCUGUAAACGAUGAGUGCUAGUUGUCGGCAUGCAUGCAUGUCGGUGACGCAGCUAACGCAUUAAGCACUCCGCCUGGGGAGUACGGUCGCAAAGAUUAAAACUCAAAGUUAGUUAGUGCGNGNGAGNGCGACGAGACGACGAGGAGGAGGAG